CCUACGGGAGGCUGCAGUUAGGAAUAUUGGUCAAUGGCCGUAAGGCUGAACCAGCCAAGUCGCGUGAGGGAUGACUGCCCUAUGGGUUGUAAACCUCUUUUAUCGGGGGAUAAAGGUGUUCACGUGUGGAUGUUUGCAGGUACCGCAUGAAUAAGCACCGGCUAAAUCCGUGCCAGCAGCCGCGGUAAUACGGGAGGUGCGGGCGUUAUCCGGAUUUAUUGGGUUUAAAGGGUGCGUAGGCCGAGCGUCAAGUGUGCGGUGAAAUUUGGGGGCUCAACCCUGGGCUGGCGGUGGAAACUGGAGACCUUGAGUGCGCGGAAGGUAGGCGGAAUUCGUGGUGUAGCGGUGAAAUGCAUAGAUAUCACGAAGAACCCCGAUUGCGAAGGCAGCCUGCCGCAGCGUUACUGACGCUGAAGCACGAAAGCGCGGGUAUCGAACAGGAUUAGAUACCCGAGUAGUC
rnacentral:rRNA from 1 species